GGGCUGCUCCAUCGCUUUGCACCGCCUGCACAAGGGGACUGAGCGGGGCAUUGACGAGUUGCCUAGGCUGUCGUGCCAUAGCAAGUACACACCCAAAGAACUCACCUUCUUGGUCUGUACCAGAGUACUCAUUCUCUCGGUGGUUUGGACUAUGUUCAUGGCGUUGCCGCUCUACGGAUCUGAGCUGACUGAAGUACUGCCUCUUGUCGUGCUCCUCUCCAUUGGCUGGAUUUAUGUCACCCUCUGGUUAUACUAUGUCGCUAACGAUCUCACGCACGGAGUUCUCCUUAAGGGGCCAAUGAAUUCACUUCCAUGUCUGAUCCCAUGUGCGGUGUUCACUCCUACGCUCUUGCUUCUGCCUGUUAUGUUCUCGGUAUUGUUACAUUGGCUGUUGCUGAUGGCCGUGGUUGGCUUCCUUGGGUACCAUCUUGCUGUCUACAUACGCUACUUGCACACUGCCGCACCAUGGUAUGUGUGAUCUACCUUGUUCGUUUAAUUGUUCUAUCAACUAGUUAGGUAUGUAUAUUCUUCAUAUAUUGUACAACUUGGAUGCAAUUCUUGUGUCUAUGAAAUUUUCUACGUUUUCAUUCUAAGUUGACCAUUUUGUGUUAGUGAUUUAAUGCCUAAUUUUAUGGGAAACAUUAGUAUGGUCUUCAGUAUGUCUAGAGUGAAUGAUCAGUAAAAAUAACACUACGACCCCUCUUUUAUAUGCCGCAUCAAGUGCCUCAUGCAACUUGCCUGCAUUUAUCUAAAAUAUUGGCAACACCUAGCCAACUAGAAGGGAUCACAGUUGAGCCCAGAUGUGCGCAAUCAUGGGCGGAGCUGGGCCCCAGGCAGCCCAGGCCGUUGCCUGGGGCGUGGGAAAUUUUCUCAGCCAUAUAUACAAAAAAACACAGGCAGCCUGGGCCAGCUGGCCCAUCCACCCAGGUCAGUGCCUUUCCCUGCGCGUGUGUGUGCUACUCACGAGGGUUUGGACGAACCUGUCCGCCGCCCCUUCCCCCAACUUGACGAACCUAGGCGAGGCCGGUGGCCGCGUCCCUGCCCGUUGGCGCCGCCCGCCGCCCCGCCGCCGGCUGUCGUCGUGCUACCCAUCCAGCCGCCCCCAAUCCCCUUCUGCGCCUAUGCCUAUACACCUAUCCAACCGCCCGCCCCCAGUCCCCUUCUGCGCCGUUGUGGGCUGCCGCCUUGUCCGGCGAGGCGGUGGCCCCGGCGAACUGCCGGCAAGGUGGCCGAGGUGGCCCUUCCUUGGAGGCGCCUUUUUCUCAACAGCUGCGUCACAGAGCAACUGGACAGCAGCAAGGCAGCAAGAGGAAAGCGCAAAUGGUCGUAUCUCUUCCAAUUUUCAAACCUCAAUUUUUUUUUGUAGAUGCCACUAUUGCUAGAUGAUGAUUUUUGUCAGUUGCUAGAUUAAACCGUUGCUGCUAGAGGCCAAUGUUUGUUAGAUACUUAGAUGCGAAAAUAAAAUUUGACAUUUAGUAAUUUUGCGGAAAUCCCUUUUGGAGCUCGGGCUCCAGUGAGGCCUCCAGAUUCAGAUUUGAAAUUUCAUUGAAAUUUAUAUGUUUACAUCUCAAAAAAUUCUGAAAAAAAUCACAUAUAUACAUGAAGGCAUAAUACACAUGUGUGUAAAUUUUCAGUUUAAAAUACAUUGAAAUGAGGGCUGUGCAAAAAGAUAAAUAUGGGGCUGUUUAACACAUGAUACUAUUCAUCCUCCCAUGCCAUGGAUUUGUCUUUUUUGUACAGGUCGUAACUCAAGGUAUUUCAUCAUGAAUUUUUACACACAUGUGAGUUACAUCCUUACAUACACGCAUAUUUUUUUCAGAAUUUUUUGAACCAUAAAAAUUUGAAUUUGAUUUUUUUAAAAAUAAAGGUCUCCAUGGAGCUCGGCCUCCAAAACGCCUUUCUCGUAAUUUUGUUCCUAUAUUACUGCUAGAGGCCAUUGAAUAUCAUGUUUGUUAGUAAUUUUGUUGCAACAUAGAUUGACUUUUGUAUGCCUUCAAACUGGAUUUUUUGGGUAGUUUUUAGCCUUUGGUUUCUCGCCUGGGGCGUUAGCAAAUCCUGGCUCCGCCAUUGUGCGCAAUGAUAUCGCAAAUUGCGUAUACUGCACUAUAUAGCACUCAAACUUUGUAACGUUGAUCGUCAGUGUUACUUUCUCUCUCUGUGAUUGCUGCUAACAAGGCAAAAAAAACACCUCCCCCCCUUUAGUUUAUGCAAGCUGUGUGGUCACCAUGGUAUGUUCUGAACCAAGUUCCAUUUAGGCAUUGUUUGGAGAAGUACAUGUAGUUGUUUUGCAGUAAACCAGACUAUUAGAGUGUAAUAAUGCAGGUUUGUAAGAAGAUUGUUGAUUUAGUGAGUAGCGAGACAAUAGCAUAAGAUGUGACGUUGCAGUUAGGUUUUGUAAAGUCAUCAAAAGAAAUUAGUAUGAACCCAAAGCAGACUACAAUUCUUAGUAACAAUAUCCACUUUUCCUUCUUGACCCUAACACUACUAGUGCAGUUCCAGUUUAUAAUUAGUUAUUUUUGUGUAGGUAUUCACCGUAAUAUUCUAUCAACUACACCCUCUGUUCCUAAAUGUACAUCUUUUUAGAGAUUUCACUAUAAACUACAUACAAAACAAAAUGACUGAAUUUACACUCUAAAAUACAUCUACAUGCAUCCGAUAGUGAAAUCUCUACAAAGACUUAUAUUUAGGAAUGGAGGGAGUAGCUAGCUAGGUGAUAUAUGUUUUAUAUAUGGUCCAAUUAUUAUUUUUCUUGUUGUUACCCUUAUUAGCUCUGGGUAUAUAAGAUCAUCUACAGCCGGGCGCCCUAUAUCCGUCUCAUACGCCUGGGCAGGCCGUCCGGUCGACCAGUCACAAAAAAUCGACCCAACCGAAGCUCUCAAACGGGCCUCAAACACCCUGACUGAUCGGCACCCCUCAUAUCCGUCUCAAUUGUAGGGCAAAUAUGAGGCGGCCCGGGCACGCCCGGGCGCGUCCGCCACGUCAGCCAGCCAACCGCCAGCCCACACCGACCCCACAAAAACCCCGUCUGGGAGAAACCCUAGCUCACUCUGCUUCGCUCCCCCCUCCCCGACGCUCCCAUUUCCCCAAUCCGCCAAACCCCUAGCGCCGGCGACCAUGUCCAGCACCGGCAACCACUCCGACGACAGCUUCAGAGACGAGGAGGAGCUGGCGCUCCGUAUCGCGCUCGAGCGCUUGCGGGUCGAUAUGGGCGGCAGCUCCGGGUUUGGUGCGACGCCACCUGUCGCCCGUCGCCGCAGUGCCGACGCCGGCGCCGGCCCUUCCCACCCUGUGCGCGGCUCUGCGAGGCCUGCGCGAUCUGCUCCUCCCACCCGACGGCCUCCUCCACCUCCGGUAGCUGCUCCACGCGGGCAGUGCUGGGUUCUAUUGCCCGCUCCGCCACAACCACGGAUGCGGACUCCGGAGUCGGAGGCACGUGUCGCCCGCCGCGAGAGGCAGAGGGCAAGGGUGAUGGCGGGCGGGUCCGACGCAUCUGCGCAGUCCGCCCGCCGCCUCCCGGUGCCUAACGAGGACGACCUUCUCCUCGAGUCGGUCACUGACUGAGGCGGAGACGAAGGCCCGACGGCUCCGGAGGAUUAAUGCCAAGCAGCUCCGGCUCGGCAUUGAGCAAUCCGAGCGGGAGGCGGCAGAUGCGGCGAGGGUGGCGAAGCUCAAGUGCAAGCAAGACCGCGUUGUCCGACGCUUGCAAGGCUACAUCGUCAUCUCUGAUUCCUCCUCCGACGACGGGUCCGACGGCUCUGACGUGGACCCACCUCCUGCCGCGGACUCCUAUAGCUGCGCCAGCAACCGGAAGGGCAAAGGGCUAGCCAGGAAGUGGUAACAUCCGUCUUAAUUUCAAGUGAUUAGAUGUAGUUUGAACUUGUCGGCCGUAUUAUGUGUAUUAUGUGAACUUUGGCUAUCUUUUGAAGAUCCGACUGUGACUCAUGAUCUACGUAGUUUUUAUCAACAUUGCAUGGGUUGCUUUGAAUAUGGGGGACGAAAUAUGAAAUACGCAGGUGUGAAGGCGUGGAUAUAGGGAAUGCCCGGUCACUAUCUGCGGGGGCGGAUUUGACAAAUCCGACUGUAGAUGCGCUAAUGCAUCGAAGAUGCACGUCCCGCUCCUAGUUCGGCAACGCGGAGGAUUUCCUAACUGGCGUGAUCAAUCUAUCCGGAUUCGUGUACAAUUGUAAUUUUUGGUUUUUGGCAUAUGUGGCCCUUCCCCUGUACUAUAUAUAAGGCCGCAUCAAUCAAGCGCAAAUCCUAAACGCCUUAAGCAAACAGUCCAGACCAAAGUUAGUCCAGCCCCCCCAAAAAAAACAAGUCGUGUUUCCCGAGCUUCCGAGGGCCGCCCAACUCGAUAUGCUCAGCCGCCACCAGCUCGACUGAGCCGGGCGACACCGAAAUCCAACCGAGCAAGACCGACACCCAGUUGAUUCCGCCAGCGAAGAUAAGGUCGCCGGCGCUGAAGACGGGAAAUCCUCCUCCGCCAACCCCAAGACCCAGCCGACGUUGGCGCUGACGGAGGCCAAAGUCGGUGAAGAGAUUGCUGCCGCCAUGGAUUCAACGUUAUGGACAAUGGUUAUGGAUUCCCCCCUUUUUCCAGAGGGGCAAGGCCACCGGAGCCAGAGACGAGAAUUCCUCCGCCGCCAGUCCGAAGAUCUACCUGCCGCACGCCGGAAGUGCCUGUGGGAAGACGUUCUCGCUAGGCCGCUUUGGUCAGUUCUGCCCCGCCCUCUGUUCACUGGUCAUCCGCGCCUUACUGUUACCGGUGAACAAGUACUGGCUUGAGUGCUUUUGGAAGCUUGACCCAAUUCGCCGUGCACUGAUCAUCCGCGUCUUUGUGGCCAUGGGUUUCAUGCUGAUGCUGGCCUUGGCCGUUCCUACCCUGUUACUUGUGCACUUCCACGGGCAGGAGAUGGCACAAGUGUGGGUCAUGUCGCUCACUCUGUGUUCAUACGCCAUGCUUGCCUCCCUCUUCAUCUGGAGGGAUUGGUGGUUCUACACAGACUUCGCACGUCUCUCUUACGGCCCCCUGUUGGCCUUAUUCGCCGCCACUGCUAUUGGCCCCCGCACCGCCAUCUUCAUCCUGCAUUGGUGGAGCACGGUAUGGGCUGCCGGAUACCUGGGCUACUCCAUCGCUUUGCACCGCCUGCACAAGGGGACUGAGCGGGGCAUUGACGACUUGCCUAGGCCGUCGUGCCACAGCAAGGAUGUGACCAAAGAACUUACCAUCUUGGUCUGUAUCAGAGAUUCAGAGCAUUCAUUCUCUCGGUGGGUUGGACUAUGUACAUGGCGAUGACGGUCUAUGGAGUGAACCUGACUCAAGAGCUGCCUAUUGUCUUAUACCUCUCCUGCAUUGGCUGGAUCUAUGUCACCCUCUGGUUAUACUAUGUCACUAAUGUUCUCAUGCACGGAGUUCUUAAGGGGCCAAUGCGUUCACUUCCCUAUCUGGUCCCAUGUGCGAUGCUCUCUCCUGUGAUGAUGUAUCUGUCUGUUUUCCUCUCGGUAUUGUUACAUUGGCUGUUGUUGAUGUCCUUGGUUGGCUUCCUUGGGUACCAUCUUGCUGUUUACAUACGCUACUUGCACACUG
rnacentral:lncRNA from 1 species